GACAAAAUGAAGGAAAAGGCUCUCUGUGCCCUCCACCACCAGAGGCCUGUUACCAAGCUGGGCGCUCUGCACAUACCAUUCAUUUGGAGAUCUGUUUUUGAUGAUGACUUUCCCUUGCUCCGUCGUCUCCCACUGCCAGACCCAGUCACACCACGGCUAGUGUUACUUUAAAGAUAUUUUCUUCAAGGUCCAGGGAGGUGGAAGCAGGAGGAUCACAAGUUCCUGAUUCAUCUUCUCCUCUAUGGAUGGUGUCAUCUGGACCAGAAAAGGCACGGGGCAAGCUCUUCUAAGAGGAAUGGGAUGGAACAGUGGGCAUCAGAGCCUGGGAAGACUGUGAGACUGAUGGGACAACAAAGAGAAAUCCAAUUAAGAGGAAGAAAAGAGGAAAAAUUAUGUUUUGUAUAUACCAUGGUAG